UGGUGUAUUUUCAAGUUAAACGCAUCGCUCAUCCUUACCCAACGUUACUUUUUAGAGACCAAACUUUGCUUUGACUAAAACUACAGAAUCAGCUCCUGUUUAUGAAUGAUCACCUCUGUUUUGAAUUUCAGUGAAUUAUAUGAAUUCGAUUUUUGGGCAAAGUUGAAUUACAUUUAUUUAGACGGUACCAAAGUCCACAUUCAGGGUGUCAAGGCUGGUCCGUGGCAGUACAAAGAGACACAACCAGAGCAAAAAUGAUGGCUCCCGAUUCUUUCUGCACAAACUGUGAGAUGAUUUUCAACUUCCUGGUAAAGGUCAGUCUGAUUAUCCGCAAAAUUCAAUCAAAGACAACGGUAGAGGAUACCAGGGAUGGACCAUUUCUUUGUUAAAUAUCCUUUCCCCCAUGAAAGGUUUGCAAGAAGUGUCCCGCCUCCUGGUUGAUGCCCCAUUCCUUGCUCAUCUGCUCCGUUUCCUCAAAUCGUCACUGUGUCUUCCUGGAAACAAGAUGGAGACGCCAUCACCUGCAGCUCCUCUUCCUGGAUCAGACCGAUGCCAUCUGACGGACUGGCUGGAGGUGCGUUGCUCGAGCAAGUCUGAAAGCGUUCGGUCCAACGAACGCUCGGCUCCCUUCAGUCUUGCGCUGAUAAGUGGCGUCACGGUACGCUGCCUGGAUAAAGCGCCGCUGUCAUGGAAUGAGGUGUCGAGUGGAAAAGCUGAGCGAGUCGAGAUUAAAUGAAAACAUAAUUUGCCAAAUUUAAUCGAAGGAGGUCACUGGACUAUGUGGAGCAACAGAUCUGUCUUUCAUCUUUGAUUCUGAGACGCGGCCACAGAAACGGAGCCAGCUGGAACAUGCCGGAGAUGACACGAGUACCCUGAAUGAUUCAGAUGGCCUGCUGAUAGCCGGUAGAUCACCUUACUGCGCCGAUGCCAGCAGACAAGCAGCAGCUACAGGCCUCAGAGGAGAGAGGCAUUCCCCCUCCGUGGAUACUUGAAGACUGACAGCUUGAGGUGGUUCAAUAAAGUGGCUCUUAAUGUUAAAAUAAAUUAGCUCUAGGUCCUUUUUAAGCCACAUGGGGUAUCAAUUUCCUAUCAGUUUUACUUUGCAAGGUGCUCCAACUUCUACCUACUCCUUGUUAUUAAUAUACAGAGAUUGCUCAGUGAUGUCAUGUAGUAAGAAUAUCCUGCAAUAUAAGUUCUAUAGAUAGUUACUCAAAAUGAAUAAAAAUAGACACUGUUUGUA